GCUGGGCAUGGUGGCACAUGCCUAUAAUCCCAGAAACUCGGGAGGUUGAGGCAGGAGGAUCUAAAGUUUGUGGCCAGCCUCAGCAACUUAAUGAGGCCACAAGCAACUUAGGGAAACCCUAUCUCAA
rnacentral:sRNA from 1 species